rnacentral:rRNA from 2 species
AGUGGCGAACUGGUGAGUAACACGUGGGAAACCUGCCCAGAAGCGGGGGAUAACACCUGGAAACAGAUGCUAAUACCGCAUAACAACUUGGACCGCAUGGUCCGAGUUUGAAAGAUGGCUUCGGCUAUCACUUUUGGAUGGUCCCGCGGCGUAUUAGCUAGAUGGUGGGGUAACGGCUCACCAUGGCAAUGAUACGUAGCCGACCUGAGAGGGUAAUCGGCCACAUUGGGACUGAGACACGGCCCAAACUCCUACGGGAGGCAGCAGUAGGGAAUCUUCCACAAUGGACGAAAGUCUGAUGGAGCAACGCCGCGUGAGUGAAGAAGGGUUUCGGCUCGUAAAACUCUGUUGUUAAAGAAGAACAUAUCUGAGAGUAACUGUUCAGGUAUUGACGGUAUUUAACCAGAAAGCCACGGCUAACUACGUGCCAGCAGCCGCGGUAAUACGUAGGUGGCAAGCGUUGUCCGGAUUUAUUGGGCGUAAAGCGAGCGCAGGCGGUUUUUUAAGUCUGAUGUGAAAGCCUUCGGCUCAACCGAAGAAGUGCAUCGGAAACUGGGAAACUUGAGUGCAGAAGAGGACAGUGGAACUCCAUGUGUAGCGGUGAAAUGCGUAGAUAUAUGGAAGAACACCAGUGGCGAAGGCGGCUGUCUGGUCUGUAACUGACGCUGAGGCUCGAAAGUAUGGGUAGCAAACAGGAUUAGAUACCCUGGUAGUCCAUACCGUAAACGAUGAAUGCUAAGUGUUGGAGGGUUUCCGCCCUUCAGUGCUGCAGCUAACGCAUUAAGCAUUCCGCCUGGGGAGUACGGCCGCAAGGCUGAAACUCAAAGGAAUUGACGGGGGCCCGCACAAGCGGUGGAGCAUGUGGUUUAAUUCGAAGCUACGCGAAGAACCUUACCAGGUCUUGACAUACUAUGCAAAUCUAAGAGAUUAGACGUUCCCUUCGGGGACAUGGAUACAGGUGGUGCAUGGUUGUCGUCAGCUCGUGUCGUGAGAUGUUGGGUUAAGUCCCGCAACGAGCGCAACCCUUAUUAUCAGUUGCCAGCAUUAAGUUGGGCACUCUGGUGAGACUGCCGGUGACAAACCGGAGGAAGGUGGGGAUGACGUCAAAUCAUCAUGCCCCUUAUGACCUGGGCUACACACGUGCUACAAUGGAUGGUACAACGAGUUGCGAACUCGCGAGAGUAAGCUAAUCUCUUAAAGCCAUUCUCAGUUCGGAUUGUAGGCUGCAACUCGCCUACAUGAAGUCGGAAUCGCUAGUAAUCGCGGAUCAGCAUGCCGCGGUGAAUACGUUCCCGGGCCUUGUACACACCGCCCGUCAC